ACUGAUGUAUUCAAUGAUUUUAUAGCCUUGGCCAACAGGCUUGGGUAAUAUUUGAAAUUUCAUCAUGAUGGGGAUAGAUAAUUAUAAUUGUUGGUCUUCAAUAAAGAAUUCCUCGUAAGCGCGAGUCAUCAGCUCGCGUUGACUGCGUCCCUGCCCCUUGUACAUACCGCCUGUCGCUCCUACUAAUUGAAUGAUACAGUGAAAUAUUUGGAUCGCGGGGAUGUGGGUGGUUCACUGCCUGCGACGUCGUGAGAAGUCGAUUGAACCUUAUCAUUUAGAGGAAGGAGAAUUCAUAACAAGGUUUUCGUAGGUGAACCUGUGGAAGGAUCAUUGUCGAAACCUGCAUAGUAGAAUGACCCGUGAACGUGUUUAACAACUUGGGAAUCCGCACCAGCGGGGUGCUACGACACUCAGCACGAGCACCUCCCCCUCGUCCCCAGCGCGGAAAGUGCCAAGGAAUACUUCAAUCAAUAGCUUACCCCUCGCGCCCCAUCCGAGACGUGCGUCGGGGGGACCUAUGCUCCUUUUGUAAAUAAAAAUGACUCUCGACAAUAGAUAUCUCGUCUCUCGCAUCGAUGAAGAACGUAGGAAAAUAUGAUACUUGGUGUGAAUUGCAGGAUCCCAUGAACCAUAGAGUAUUUGAACGCAGGUUGCGCCCGAAGCUAUUAGGUCGAGGGCAUGUCUUCUUGGGCAUCACACAUCGCAUUGCCCCCUCGCAUCAUGCCUCAAUCAUGGGGUGCACUGUUGUUGUGGGGCGGAUACUGGCCUCUCGUGCACCUCGAGCUCGCAGCUAGCCUAAAUGCGAGUCCACGUCGACAAACGUCGCGGAAAGUGGUAGUUGUAUCUCAACUCUCAUUAUUGUCGCGACUAUAGCCCAUCGCGUGUCUAGACUCCAGGACCCUUUCGCGCUUCGGCACUCCGACCGCGACCCCAGGUCACGUGGGAUUACCCAAAAUAGCCUAGCAUUAGAAUCAGGCGGCUCUGUCAUCCGAAUUAUAGUUUGGAGAAGCGUCCUCAGCGGUGGAGCAGGCCCAACUCCCCUGGAAGUGGGCGCUAGAGAGGGUGAGAGCCCCAUUAUGCCCGGACCCUGUCGCACCACGGGGCACUAUGUACGUGUUGGGUUGUUUUGGAAUGUAGCCCAAAUCGAGCGGUGAAUUCCGUCUAAGGCUAAAUACGAGCGACAGACCGAUAGCGAAUAAUUACCACAAGGGAAAGAUGAAAAGGACUUUGAAAAGAGAGUCAAAGAAUGAUUGAAAUUAUCGGGAGGGAAGUUGAUGGAGGCCGGUGAUGCACCCCGGUCGGAUGUGGAAUGGCGAUGAGUCGGUCCGAUGAUCGACUCAAGGCAUAGACCAGCAUAGAUUGGGGGGACGCCCAAGGCCCGGUCUCCCGAUAUGCUCGUUAAAUGCCGUCUCCUCAAUUGUGGAAGGCAGCGCACACCUCCGACAUGCUUUGGCAUCUGCGCGCUACGGACGCUGGCCUGUGGGCUCCCUAUUUAACCCAUCUUGAAAACCAGUCCCAGUCCCAAACCCAUCGGCCGUUGGUGGACUACUCGAGCUGCUCCUGUAGCGAGAGCAGGUCGCUGCGUGUCGGUUGGGUGACGGACUAGGAACGGUUCCUUCGGAGGCCUUCCCCGUGCGUCGAAUAGCCAACUCAGAACUGGAACGGACAAGGGGAAUCCGACUAUUUAAUUAAAACAAAGCAUUACGAUAGUCCCAACGGAUGUUCACGCAUUGUGAUUUCUGCCCAUUGCUCUGAAUGUCAAAGUGAAGAAAUUUAACCAAGCAUGGAUAAAUGGCGGGAGUAACUAUGACUUUCUUAUUGUAGUCAAAUACCUCGUCAUCUAAUUAGCGACGCGCAUGUAUGGAUUAAUGAGAUUCCCACUAUCCUUGUCUACUAUCCAACGAAACCACAACCAAGGGAACGGGCUUGGCAGAAUCAGCGGGGAAAGAAGACCCUCUUGAGCUUGACUCUACUCCGACUUUAUGAAAUAACUUGAGAGGUGUAGUAUAAGUGGGAGUCGAAAGGUAAAAGUGAAAUACCACUACUUUUAAUGUUAUUUACUUAUUUCGUGAAUCGGAAGUGGGGCACUGCCCCUCUUUUUAGACCCAAGGCUCGCUCUGCAGGCCGAUCCGAGAUGAAGACAUUGUCAGGUAGGGAUUUUGGCUUGGGCGGCAUAUUUGUUAAAAGAUAAUGCAGGUGUCCUAUGAUGAGCUUAACGAGAACAGAAAUAUUGUGUGGAAUAGAAUGGUAAAAGCUUGUUUGAUUCUGAUUUCCAGUAUGAAUACGAACCACGAAAGUGUGGCCCAACGAUCCUUUAGACCUUUGGAAUUUGAAGCUAGAAGUGUCGGAAAAGUGUCACCACAGGGAUAACUAGCUUGUUGCAUCCAAGCGUUCAUAGAACCAUUGCUUUUUCAUCCUUCGAUGUCGGCUAUUCCUAUCAUUGUGAAGCAGAAUUCACCAAGUAUUGGACUGUUCACCCACCAAUAGGGAACGUGAGCUGGGUUUAGACCAUCUUGAGACAGGUUAGUUUUACCCCACUUAUGACAGUGUUGCAGUAGUAAUUCAACCUAGUACGAGAGGAAACAUUGAUUCACACAAUUUUUCAUCGCACUUGGUUGAAAAGCCAGUGGCGCAAAGCUACCGUGUGCUGGAUUAUGACUAAACGUCUCUAAGUCAGAAUCCAGGCUAGAAGCGACGCAUGCGCCCGCUGUCUACUUUCUGAUCCGUAGUAGGGGCCUCGGCCCCCAAGGACAUGUAUCAUUUACUAAGACACCGCGGAGGAAGAGUCUCGGUGGCCGUCUUGAAGUGUAAUUUCCAUCAAGCGGUGGGUAGAAUCCUUUGCGGAUGACUUAAAUAUACGAUGGGUUGUUGUAAGUGAAGAGUGGCCUUGCUGCCACGAUCCACUGAGAUUCAUCUCUUUGUCACUUUAAUUCAUCCCUCCCCAUCCA
rnacentral:rRNA from 1 species